GCGCGCGUCCCGGAUGGCCCCAGCCUGGCUGUCCACGGUGCUGCCCGCCGCCAUGCGCCUGCUCCGCUUCCACAGCCCCGGGGCGGCCGGGCCCCGGCUGGGGCUGGAGGAGGAGGGGGAGGAGGAGGGGGAGGAGGAGAAGGAGAAGGAGAAAGAAGGAGAGGAGAAGGAGGGCGGGGAUGUGGUGGACCUCAGCGAGUCCGAGCCCGCCCUGCCCCGCUCCAUGCGUGAAAAUGCGUGAAAAUGAAUUACUUCUGUGGGACGGUCCUGAUUCAGCUGACAAUGCUGCAGGAAUCAUACAGCCUUCAUGCAGCACAUGAGGAGCUUGUUGUUGCAAAGCGAGUGCUUUGCAUCACUCUGACGUUCUGCCAUGGACUCUUCUUCCUAGUUUUUGAUGUAUAUGGAGGCAUUGCUAAGGAGGACAUAACAGGCAGCAUUAAAUCCGAGGUGUCAGGAGACCUGGAAGAUGCUUUGCUGGCUGUGGUAAAGUGUGUGUGAAACAAGCCUGCGUACUUUGCUGAAAGACUGUAUAAAUCCAUGAAGGGCCUGGGAACAGAUGGCAACACUCUGAUCAGAGUGGUGGUGUUCCGCCUCAAGAUAGAUAUACUGGAUAUCGGAAGAGAGCUCCUGACUAUGUAUGGGAAGUCUCUCUACUCCUUCAUUAAGGGAGACUGCUCAGGAGACUACAGGAACGUUCUGCUGAAGCUCUGUGGCAGUGAGGAUCGAAGGAUUCCUGGGGUGUUUGUAACUGUUGGUGAAUAACGCUCUGAAGGCAUCACAGACUGCCUGCUUGUCUCUGCAGUGCUCGGGGCUGUUCUGAGCUGCAGGCUCGCUGCAGCCCCGUGGCAUAGCCUUGCAUCUGGUGACGGACUGAAGCUGGAGAAUCCUGGCAGCAGAGGACGCUCCUGUCCCACAGAAGGGCUCACAGCUCCACCGCAGCUCCACCGACCUCAGUGCUGGUGAGGAGGCUGAGAUGCCUCCAAGUGAUGAAUGCAGUCCACCCAACCUUACACCUCGUGUGGUUCACUGUGCGAGGCGACCAGGAAGAAAGGUGGGCACAGGAUAUUUUACAGGUUCUGACUCAGGUUCCGAGAUUUUAAGUUUACCGUCUGGAAUUAAAGCCUUCUUCAACUGCCUGUUCUGCCACCUGAUCCGCCAUCUUAUCUCCAGUUUCCCGUACAGUGCUACCUUUCUGAUGUCCUUUACAGAGUAUAAUAGCCAUGCUCUUUGGUAGGCGUACAUCAUACUGAAUGUUUUCCUUGUGUGUGAGCAAUCCUUGCUCUUUCCAGAUGGCACUAUGAGCGUGUUCCACCCCAAAAGCAUGUUUAGCAUCUGACCAUGUAUUUAAGGCUCUUGUCAAGGCAGUUAUUGCAGCCUUCUGAGCCAAGUCCCCACAGGCAAUGGUUGUUCGAUUACCUGGUCAGUAGCAGUUACUGCAUAUCCUGCCUUACGGUUGCCUUGUCUCACAACACUGCUUCUGUCGGAUGAACCCAGGAAUCCUCAGCACUGUCCAAUGGUUCCUCCUGUAGGUCUGGCCGACUGGCACAGUCAGUCUCCAAGCAGUCGCACGCUGCCGGUUUGGAGGUAGCUCUGUGUUGGUGUUAGAAGCAUGGAAUGGCCUGGGUUGAGAAGGACCUCAAAGAUCGUCCAGUUCCAACCCCCUGCUAUGUGCAGGGUCACCAACCGACGGACCAGGCUGCCCAGAGCCUUGUCUUGAAGAAGAUUGUUUUUAGGAGAACAAAAACUUUGGAUCACCUUUCAAAUACAGAGAAAAAAAUAACGCUGUAUUAUUUUUUUGUUUUAUUUUCCUGUUGUUAUGAUCAGGUAAAGAGACAGACAUAUCACAUCUCAGAAAUGGCUUUACUUCAGUGGCCUUAAAUGGUCCCUCUGUGAUCAUUAUUUUCUUAUUGAAUCGCUGUCAGACACAGCUGGUGGAUUUUUGGACGUGCAGUUUGGAGUUCCUGGCUAAAAUGAACCACAUGAAUACGGAUUACGGAUAUUCUUAUCUCAGCACGCUUUUGAGAUGGAGCAUUCAAAUUACAAGACCUUCAGUCUGCUGUUUUAAUCUGACCCAGAAGGAAAACUUCACUACAGUUCGUUUCCUUGAUUCCCGUGCAAUUUUAUUUUGGAACUGAAGCUCAAUCGGAUUUAAACAACUUUUUUGAAAGUCUGUAAUGAAAGUUGCAUUUUUGCUUACACGUAGCCGCUUUGACCCACGGUGAAUGGAAGUCAUAAAGCAGGGUAUAAAGGGAGUUUCUAAAUUGCCUGUUGUUGAGGCCAUUGAAGGCAACAGGAGAGUCCAGAAUGUGACCUUUGAGAGCAAAUUUGCCUCUGCUUCUUACUGAAUUUUGUGUUGCGUUUUUCUGUAUAUAUAUUUUUUUGACUCAGAAAUACAAAUUAUAAUGAAGGUGAGGCACUUCACAAUACAUUUGGCUUCAGCAUUGCUGAAUAUACAUUUGUAUAUGUAUAUAUAUAUGUAUAUAUAUAUGUAUAUAUAUAUGUAUGUAUAUAUGUAUAUAUGCAUUGUACAGCAAAACAUUUCAGAAUCUGCAGAACGUUGCUAAUAACUGCAGUGGAACAGGGAGGAAUAGUGAAAACAGAUUUCUGCUUUGAAUGCUUUCAAAUUUAAUAAUUAAUGCAUUUUAUUUUUACUUGUAUAGGAUUAUCAUGAACUCUAGAUAGGUAGUUACAUUUGAAAAUGCUAAGUGAGAUAGCAAAACUGAAUCAUAAACACAGGAAACAGAUUCUGCACUCAUUUGCUUGCAUUUCUGUCCUGCUGGCAUGCUCUUUGUACUUUCUACCAUUUCAGAAUCACAGGAGCUAAAAUAGUCUGUGAAAGAAGAGUCCAAAUCCUUGCCUUUGGAAGGCCCAGCUCGUUACCCAACUCCUGAGCAAAGAAAAAGAAGAAUAAAGGCUUCAGUCACCACACAUACUCACACUGGGAGACUUCAGCCUCAGCGUGACUGUCAGCCCUGUGGACACGCUGGCUGUCACUGUGCCCACCGUCUGCCACAACAUCACCUGCAGCCUCUGUGGAACUUCAAUGGCCGUCUCCACACCGACCGCCUCAUCCAGAGCAGCACUGCCACGGGUCACCGCCUCAGUCCCGGUCCCAGGUGUCCCCUGUGCCGGCAAUCCCCCAGCAGUGAGUGAGUGGGCAGUGGACACAACCUGGGCUUCUCGCCGGGCCCUGCACGGGUGGUGGCAGUGUUCCAGGGGCACCGCCUCCGGCCCCACCCAUCCCUCUCCAAAAACGAGCUGAUGCUGUUCUCCUGGUUUGAGCGGCUGUGUACGGACUGUGCGACUGCCCGAGGGGAACCUUCCAACCUACUGCCUGAACUGAACUGAACUGAACUUCGGUGUCACGAGCACGGCUGCAGAUAUGCAGUAACCGGACUGAAACUGCAACUAUCGGAAGACCCACAUGCAGAACAAACCGUACAGUGCACAGAAUUCAGUGCACUUCAUCACUGCAGUGAUGAAGGAACUCGGCAACGGGGCCGCUGUUGUGUUUUGGUAACAGUGAGGAGGCACCAGCAACGAGCUGUGGAUUGGCUGCCCCCCCUGCGCUGCACUGUGCAUUCACGCGCUGGCCACGCGUAGAGUGCGUGAUCCGGCUCAGGGCAUACAGACAUGUCAGGAGGGCAGCAGGGUGAGGUAACUCAGGCAGAGGACACCGCUGCCUCCAUGGGGAUGCCCGCAAGGCCCUGAGCCAACCAGUCCCUCCCCUUACAGCCAAUCCGAGCUGUGCUGGCUGAUGGUCCUUUUGGGACCUCUUGGCGGAUCGGUAGCUGUGCACUGCAGUGCUUAAACGCUCGCUUUGGCCGAC